CAAGUGGCAGCAGUGCUACCUCACCAUGGCACAGGUGGGGAAGUCAUCACUCUACUUCAUUGGUGGCUACAGGAAAGCUGGUCAUGAUGACGAAGGAUCCGGCGAAAGCUACACCAUGAGCGACCGAGGAGUCACCUUGGAAGUCGUGAGCGUUUUCGAUACGAGGGAAGGGAAGUGGCGCAGCACGGAGACGCCGUCCAUGGCUGGGAAGGAGCUUUGCAGCCACUGCUGCACGUUAGAGCUCUAAAACAAGUGAAGACGAGCAGACACAACACACAAGAUACACUUUGGCGCUGGUGCUCGCCAGGUGAGUGAGAAAAGGAGUUUUCCAGUUCUUUUGCUUUGUUUUUUUUUUUGUAACUUAAGCUUGGAUGCCAGGUGAAGGAACUGGUCGUGACGUCGAUCGGGCGGCGGCUGCUGCUGUUACCGCUGCAUCCUUGGCCGGAUUUCCAGGACGGGGCAUUCAGCUCGAAUCGCGUCGGCAAACUCCAAAAGGUUUUUACAAGCACAAAUAUGCGCUGCUGUUCUGUUUGCUCCUGCAACAAUCCAGUACUGGAGCUUGCUCGAGUGGCCGGAGAGGAGUAAAGAAAUCGUAUCCCUUCCCUCCUCCUCCCCUCUCUUCUAAAAUAUGUUAUGUUGAAACCGAUGCUGUUGCUGGCUGGUACAGGGUCGCGUGGAUUCAUGUGAUUCUGUUGUUUAGUUUUGUGUGUCUCAGUAGGUAGUUACUCAGCGCAUAAUCACCCAAGAGAGCUUGUUUUCUCUUUCAAAACUUGUUUGUGGAGGACAUGAUGUACAUUGUUUGUGGAUGUUUGGUUUCAUGUUAAUAGUAAAGAUAAGCUGGCAAUUUUGAC
rnacentral:lncRNA from 1 species